GACCUGUUUCUACUACAGAGCUGUUUCUCCUGACUUCUACUACAGACCUGUUUCUGACUUGUACUUCACGGUUUCUUCUAACUCUACUACAGAGAAGUAUUGAUUGCACUCUAGCCAAUCUCAAAGUAGCAUUCAUUGGAAGAAGAGGUUGCAGGGAAAUGAGGAGGAGGGAUGGGUAUAAUAGAGGUGGGAUAGAGACAAUAGAGGAGAGAAGUGAUGGACAUGGACUCAAUAAUAGUUUAUACACAAACAGCUCCCUCUGCUGGCCACUCUCUCAAACAGAAACCCUUCACAAACACACACGAUUCACAUAUACAGACACGAUUCACACACACACGAUUCACACACACAGGCACCAUCCACACCCACAGACACGAUUCACUCAAUAAUAGUUCAUACACAAACAGCUCCCUCUGCUGGCCACUCUCUCAAACAGAAACCAUUUACACACACAAAUACCAUUCACAAACACACAAUUCACAUACAGUAUAUACACACACACACACGAUUCACACAGACACCAUUCACACACAGUGUUGAAUGCCAAAAGCUGAUCGAGAGACCUCGGUUUAUUGUUUUUGUAAAGCUGACAGUGUUUUUACAUACUUUUAUUUGAUUUUGAAUCCUGCAGCUCUGUUGAGCUUAGUUUCUGUGAGCGCUGCUGUCUGUCCCGGGAUCCCUCCAGAUUCCGUAUAAGGGGAGAGACACGGAAGCCCAGCUAGCCUAGCUGGCUCGGAGGUCUUAAAUGGAGGUCGCUAUUGAACGUUUCCAGCGCUGCAGGAGCUGUGUUUACUUCGCUUUGUUCCAAGACAAUGUGGACCGUGUUGACUUUCAAUGUAGCACUGCUUGCAAACCUACUGGGGAAUCCACGCCCGCCUACGUUUUCUUUUUCAUCCACCCCAGUAGCAGGAUGGCGCUCUGGUCUGGUGGAAGUGUUGCUGCCGUGUCGGCUCUCCGCAGCCGACUGACCAGUGCUCAGCAGGGUUCCAUUCCCGAAGGGGUCUCCCCCUUCCCUGGAGAACGGAGCUGUUCUCGACCCAACCAACCAGCCAUGGAGAUACGUCAUUCGCCGUGGAAGUCGAAGACAGCGUCCUCUGGCAACGUGGGUCUCCUUGGAGAUGUUGAGCCUGGACCUGACACAGACCAGAAACAGCUUUGCCACCCUGGAUCCAGAGGUUCCAGCACCUUCUUCCUUGGGGGCUUCCCAAUCAAGAUCAAAUCCGGAGGUACCUGCGUCUUCGUCCUCGGUUCUGUCUCCCUCUCCGGUGGCUUCUACCUCGUGUUCAGAUCCUCAGAGCUCCCAUCCUCACCAGACCGUAAGGCUACCCAGGAGCACGAGUACAGGACAUCACAAGGCUGCUUCUGACUGUUCUACCACAGAUGCCGGGAGCUGACGCUGUCGUAGUCCAUAUGGGUCAAACGACAUCAGGAGGGCUAGCUCGGAACAUCUGAAAAUGGAUUUUAAAGAACUGACUUAAGCAUUAAAAGACUCCAAAAAACGGCAAUCAUUUCAGGUCCAAUACCAUCGUUGUGCCGCGGGUGUGAAAGAUUCAGCAGACUGCUGGCAUUACACAUCUGGCUAAAAGAUUACUGUAGCUCUGCUGGAGUCACUUUUAUAGAUAACUUUGGAAACAGAAGAUACUCUACAGGAAUGACAGAGUCCAUCCAAAUCAUCUUGGCUUCUGGACUUUGUCCACACUAAGUUUAAACAAUGACUUAUCAAUGACCCAAUACCAGCUCAGCUAAUCCCUAUCAUUG
rnacentral:lncRNA from 1 species